UUAUUUUAAUACUUCUUGUUAUUUUUGCCCUGGUUAAAAGUAAAAUAAUCACUUUGCUGCUGGGCCAAAUUUGUCCCAUUCUCGUGUUGCAGUCGGGACACAAACGGCCCCUGGGCCGCACUUUGGACAUCCCUGCAUUGCAUUAGCAAAUGAGAUUAUUCAGCAGGACUGCGAGUGGACAGAGUGAGGAGAAGAGAGAGGCAGAAAGAGGAGAAAGAGGAGGAGGACGAAGAGGAGUGGGGGGUGUCCGGUCAUGCUGAAGCAUCUGAGGGAGAGAAGAGGGGAAAGCGGCGCUCUGCACGGCGCCCAGGCUUCAUUACCAUGUGAAUCUGAGAGGAGCGAUGUGGAGAGGGAGCGGCGGGCCGGCCAGGGCCCAGCAGUGGGCCGGAUCCAUAUGGUGCUGCCGGCGCUGGAAUGAAUAGUGAAUGGAGCGGCUGGGCUGCUGGAAUCUGCCUCCAAGCCUUUGUGAACAGGAUGACCAAAGACAAGAGGGAGCUCUGCAGAUGGCCCGCGCUAUAAAUAGGUAGCUAGUCUAUCUCUGAGCUGUCACUCCACUGGACGGCACUGAACCCAGAAAAUAACGGCCCAUCAGCACCAGAACCGGGGACUAGAACCGACCGACCCGUCUUCAGGGAUUCAUACUGGAGCUGGAAAUCGUCUCAUGAUUUGAUUCAAAAUCAGACCUGGAAAUGCUCUUCCAGUGAUAGAAGGCCGACUCUGUAACCGACUUUAUGUGGCUCUGAAUGUUCAGGUCAGGUUGCAGCCUCAUCUCUAGGUUCUGUAAUAACUGACUCUAGAUCCUCGUUAGGUGCAAAGAUAAUAACUUCAGUAUUAAUAACUCACAAUUUGAUCCAAAAUCAAUCAAUAAAGCUUAUUUUUGUAGAGAACUUUUCAGCAAUAAGGGAGUUCAAUGUGCUCUACGUUAUAAAAACUAAAAAAAACAUAAAAAAAGACAACACACAGUAAACAUUACAUUUUGCCAAGAGUCAUCGUUGCACAUCAAAAUGUUGGUCAAUGUUUCAUUUAUUGUUGUUCAAAACCAACUCUAAACAGGUGGGCUUUUAAUUAUUCAUAAUGAUUUCUGCUUUAAUCUGUUGGUGCACUGCAAACGUCUAGUUUCCAAAUACCCUGGUACACUUGAAAUAAGACAAAACGAAUUUACCUUCUGUACCUUUUCAGAAAGGUACAGAAUUUUUUUAAGUAAAAAAUUCCGUAAAGAUGCAGUAAGUAACGUUUAUAAAACAUACAUAUUGUACAUAUUUGUGACAGCUUGUUACCAAUCUGUGAAAAAAAAAUCGAUUUUCUCUUCCUUCUCCCAGAAACAACCAAUCAGAGCCAGGGGCGGGGCUCAGCUCUCUGUGACGCCGCAGCUAGCAAAGCUCACAGACAGCAGUUCGGGAAAUCCAGUCAUGAAUGUUAGGCUAGCUAGAGUAGCCACCGAUGACGUCGGCUAAGCGGCUUUCCAGUAACGGCAAAUUGUUUCUCCGCCAUUAGCAUAUGACCUUCAACGAAGAUGCAGCCUGUUCACAGCAGAAACGUCAAUGCCCACACCUGCUUGGGUGGCAAGUGUGAGGCAUCGCUGGCGAUCGGCUCCGUGGAGCCAGACAGAGAGACCGAUGAAGUGGGAGGACGGACAGAAACCCGGCAGGAUGCGAAAAACUGUUCUCCCUACAGACCGUCAGACACAUCUAACACAAAGACAACCAAGGAAGCUACCUGAGAGCUGAUCAGUGAAGCUAGCUAGCCUGCAGCUAACGAGGACAGAAACAUUCCCAGACUCCCACCAGGUUCUGCUCUCUGACCAGAGACGACUUGGCGACUCGAGGCUCCGGUGAGAGAGGAACGAGUCCGGUGGAUGUCUGAGACGAGUUUCUGAGUUUGACCCGUUAAAGUGCAUCAUGAAAAGCUUCACCUUCCCUCUCCUGCCUCGUCCUGCUCAGCUCCGUACAUCUGCGUCUGUUUACCAGCCUGCCUGUUUCUGCUCCGGUCUCAGCUGAUGAGAGCAGCUCCCAGCUGCUCGGGUUGUGCUGCUCCUGCAGGAGCGCGAGCAGCGUUGGUGCUGCGCUGCCGAAUCAAAGACCGCACUGCUGCAAGAACACGACGACGAGAGUCAGAGGAAAACGAUUUAAUGACCAUCCAGACUGAAACACUAUUUGGGAAAACAAAGUUUUUCCAUCGGUUUUGCAGACGCUCAUUUGUUUUUAUGAGAGAUUUGUAAUUAAGAGGAAAAUAUUUCCUCUUAAAAUAUUUCUCAAUCUGUUGUUUUACUGAUACUAAAAAAAGUUCAAUUA